GACGAACGCUGGCGGCGUGCUUAACACAUGCAAGUCGAACGGAAAGGCCCUGCUUUUGUGGGGUGCUCGAGUGGCGAACGGGUGAGUAACACGUGUGUAACCUGCCCUUGACUUUGGGAUAACUUCAGGAAACUGGGGCUAAUACCGGAUAGGAGCUCCUGCUGCAUGGUGGGGGUUGGAAAGUUUCGGCGGUUGGGGGUGGACUCGCGGCUUAUCCGCUUGUUGGUGGGGUAGUGGCUUACCAAGGCUUUGACGGGUAGCCGGCCUGAGAGGGUGACCGGCGACAUUGGGACUGAGAUACGGCGCAGAAGCCUACGGGAGGCAGCAGUGGGGAAUAUGGCACAAUGGGCGGAAGCCUGAUGCAGCAACGCCGCGUGCGGGAUGACGGCCUUCGGGUUGUAAACCGAUUUCGCCUGUGACGAAGCGUGAGUGACGGUAAUGGGUAAAGAAGCACCGGCUAACUACGUG
rnacentral:rRNA from 1 species